rnacentral:rRNA from 1 species
AGUGAACGCUGGCGGUAGGCCUAACACAUGCAAGUCGAACGGCAGCACAGUAAGAGCUUGCUCUUACGGGUGGCGAGUGGCGGACGGGUGAGGAAUACAUCGGAAUCUACUUUUUCGUGGGGGUUAACGUAGGGAAACUUACGCUAAUACCGCAUACGACCUACGGUUGAAAGCAGGGGAUCUUCGGCCCUUGCGCGAUUGAAUAAGCCGAUGUCGGAUUAGCUAGUUGGCGGGGUAAAGGCCCACCAAGGCGACGAUCCGUAGCUGGUCUGAGAGGAUGAUCAGCCACACUGGAACUGAGACACGGUCCAGACUCCUACGGGAGGCAGCAGUGGGGAAUAUUGGACAAUGGGCGCAAGCCUGAUCCAGCCAUACCGCGUGGGUGAAGAAGGCCUUCGGGUUGUAAAGCCCUUUUGUUGGGAAAGAAAAGCAGCAGGUUAAUACCCCGCUGUUCUGACGGUACCCAAAGAAUAAGCACCGGCUAACUUCGUG